UGAGGAAUAUUGGUCAAUGGGCGCGAGCCUGAACCAGCCAAGUAGCGUGCAGGAUGACGGCCCUAUGGGUUGUAAACUGCUUUUGUAUGGGGAUAAAGUCAAUCACGUGUGAUUGUUUGCAGGUACCAUACGAAUAAGGACCGGCUAAUUCCGUGCCAGCAGCCGCGGUAAUACGGAAGGUCCGGGCGUUAUCCGGAUUUAUUGGGUUUAAAGGGAGCGUAGGCCGGAGAUUAAGUGUGUUGUGAAAUGUAGACGCUCAACGUCUGACUUGCAGCGCAUACUGGUUUCCUUGAGUACGCACAACGUUGGCGGAAUUCGUCGUGUAGCGGUGAAAUGCUUAGAUAUGACGAAGAACUCCGAUUGCGAAGGCAGCUGACGGGAGCGCAACUGACGCUUAAGCUCGAAGGUGCGGGUAUCGAACAGGAUUAGAUACCCUGGUAGUCCGCACAGUAAACGAUGGAUGCCCGCUGUUGGUACCUGGUAUCAGCGGCUAAGCGAAAGCAUUAAGCAUCCCACCUGGGGAGUACGCCGGCGGU
rnacentral:rRNA from 1 species